rnacentral:rRNA from 1 species
ACACUCCUGCGGGAGGCAGCAGUGGGGAAUAUUGGACAAUGGGCGCAAGCCUGAUCCAGCCAUGCCGCGUGAGUGAUGAAGGCCCUAGGGUUGUAAAGCUCUUUCACCGGAGAAGAUAAUGACGGUAUCCGGAGAAGAAGCCCCGGCUAACUUCGUGCCAGCAGCCGCGGUAAUACGAAGGGGGCUAGCGUUGUUCGGAAUUACUGGGCGUAAAGCGCACGUAGGCGGAUCGAUCAGUCAGGGGUGAAAUCCCAGGGCUCAACCCUGGAACUGCCUUUGAUACUGUCGAUCUGGAGUAUGGAAGAGGUGAGUGGAAUUCCGAGUGUAGAGGUGAAAUUCGUAGAUAUUCGGAGGAACACCAGUGGCGAAGGCGGCUCACUGGUCCAUUACUGACGCUGAGGUGCGAAAGCGUGGGGAGCAAACAGGAUUAGAUACCCUAGUAGUCCCAUGA